UACGAAGGGGGCUAGCGUUGUUCGGAAUACUGGCGUAAAGCGCGCGCAGGCGGUCUUCCAAGUCAGUGGUGAAAGCCCGGAGCUCAACUCCGGAACUGCCAUUGAAACUGUGAGACUUGAGGAUGAGAGAGGUGAGUGGAAUUCCCAGUGUAGAGGUGAAAUUCGUAGAUAUUCGCAAGAACACCAGUGGCGAAGGCGGCUCACUGGCCCGGUACUGACGCUGAGGUCGCGAAAGCGUGGGGAGCAAACAGG
rnacentral:rRNA from 1 species